rnacentral:rRNA from 1 species
GACGAACGCUGGCGGCGUGCCUAACACAUGCAAGUCGAACGGAAAGGCCCUGCUUGCAGGGUACUCGAGUGGCGAACGAGUGUGUAACACGGGGGGGAGCGUACCUGCAGUGCGGGAUAACCCUGGGAAAGGGGGUCUAAUAAGGGAUAUGUGCUAUUUUUACAGUGAUGGUUGCAAAGUCUUUUCGGUGUGGGAUGAGCUCGCCGCCUAUCAGCUGGUUGGUGGCGGAAUGGCCUAUCAAGGCGGCGACGGGUAGCCGGACUGAGAGGGUGUACGGCCACAUUGAGACUGAGAUACGGCCCAGACUCCUACGGGUGGGAGCAGUGGGGAAUGUUGAACAAUGAGAGUAAGGCUAAUGCAGAGGCGCCGAGUGCGGGAUGACGGCCUUCGAGUUGUAAAUUCCUUUCGCUAGCGACGAAGCUUUUUGUGACGGUACCUAGAUAAGAAGCCCCGGCUAACUACGUG